AAUAGAUACCCGGGUAGUCCACGCCGUAAACGAUGAGUGCUAAGUGUUAGAGGGUUUCCGCCCUUUAGUGCUGCAGCUAACGCAUUAAGCACUCCGCCUGGGGAGUACGGUCGCAAGACUGAAACUCAAAGGAAUUGACGGGGGCCCGCACAAGCGGUGGAGCAUGUGGUUUAAUUCGAAGCAACGCGAAGAACCUUACCAGGUCUUGACAUCCUCUGACAACUCUAGAGAUAGAGCGUUCCCCUUCGGGGGACAGAGUGACAGGUGGUGCAUGGUUGUCGUCAGCUCGUGUCGUGAGAUGUUGGGUUAAGUCCCGCAACGAGCGUAACCCUUGAUCUUAGUUGCCAGCAUUUAGUUGGGCACUCUAAGGUGACUGCCGGUGACAAACCGGAGGAAGGUGGGGAUGACGUCAAAUCAUCAUGCCCCUUAUGACCUGGGCUACACACGUGCUACAAUGGAUGGUACAAAGGGCUGCAAGACCGCGAGGUCAAGCCAAUCCCAUAAAACCAUUCUCAGUUCGGA
rnacentral:rRNA from 1 species